rnacentral:piRNA from 1 species
CCCGGGUGACGGUGAGAUGAGCUGAGAUC